GUCACUCGUCCAGCUGCCUC
rnacentral:siRNA from 1 species